CACCAGGGGAGGAUUGGCCAUAGACCCUACAGGGAAAUUUCCCAGUGGGCCGAUGCCAAGGGGGCCACUCAAGCCCUCUUGAUGGCCACAGGCCAGGUACACAUUGAUCUGAUGCUCAACAGCCACAGAUGCCCUCCUGAACUCGACUGUGAUACAGUUGAAUACUGUGGCUGGGGCUGCAGUAUUUUAUGCUGCCCUGUGGUAUUUGGUUCUGCUGGGGUGGUAUUCUGUG